UCCUCUUUGUUCCCUGUGCUUAAUUCACUGGUUUCCUCGGUGAAUCUUUCUUCCUGACUCAUUAUGCUAUCUGUCACGGUGUUGAUUGCCUGCUUCAAAGAGCCUUCUUUGUCAGCCUCGGUGUAAUCAACGACAGAAGUAAUUUUGUCUACGGGAAUCGUGUGCCUGAAUGGCUUCGGAGUUCCAGAACUUUCGAUCAAACUUGGUCUCAUGCCAGCUCCAUUCAGGUCGGGCGUCUUGUAACUGGUGUACACAGGUUCCUGCGCGUUCUUAUCGACUUUCCUGUCCUGCAGAGCGUUACUCUCUUGCUUCACCAUAGCCUGGACAUCCGAGUACCGAUUUCUGGCCUCCAAAUCCACGUCCACGUCCGGGACAGGCUCUGCCACUCCAACUCCAGACACUUUCGUCGUCGAUUCUUCGUCGGAAUCUGGCUCCAGCGGACUCUGCGCGUGCCACUUCGGAGUACUGGAAACCAUCGAAGGGCCAUCGGAUCCACCGUCUGUCAUCGUGUACGUCAUCUGAGAUCCAGGGAUCCUCCAACCUGUUUCGUUCUCGCUCGUCGAUCGAUGAGGUUUCGUGGAAGAAAAUUCCAAAGGCUGAGAAGAGGAGAGGCCAAAAGGCUGAGAAGAAGUUCGAAGCUUGAUAUCGUAUGAUAGGCUUCCACGGAGAAGUUUCGAAGCUUGGAUUGCGGAAAUCCUUGAACAGAUCGUCUUUUCCGACUUCGGGCGUGGAAGCUGUGGAUGUGGUGGUCUUUUUCGACGAAGACGAUUCAUCGUGCACGGUGUAAUUAACCUUCUUAUCCGCUUCGUUGGUGGUUUGAGCGACAUCCGCGCUUGCUUCGGUACUGUCUUCAACGGUGGUCGGUUUCAUCGUGGUUUGUUCUUCAG
rnacentral:misc_RNA from 1 species